rnacentral:tRNA from 1 species
UUAAUAAAAGCCAAAAUCCUGCGGCCUUUCAUUGUUAAUGAAACCACUGAGUUCUCUCUUAUUAAU